rnacentral:rRNA from 1 species
AUGACGCGGCCGUCCGCGACAGGGUACUUGCUGGCCGUGGGCCGCUCGUGCUGGGAAGGAUCUCGCUUCUGGUGGCGCCAUGGUCGCGCUUUCAGCGCGUGUCGCCGGCCAAGCUGCUCUACAAGGUGCGGGUUUGUCUGGAGGGGGUGCCGGAGCAUGCUUGGGACAUUGAGUCCGUGGCCUUGUUGUUCGAUCCUUCCAUGCUCAUCGACAGCAUCGACCACGAGGUGCGACGGGAGCAGGAGACGGGCUGUUUCCGGCUCUGGGUGUGGAUGGACGCUGUGGAGAAGCUCAAGACUCGCGGAGCUCAAGACUCGCGGAGUGCUUCAGCUGGAAGAGCCGAUGGAAGAGGGUUCACCCGGGAUGCAUUUCCCUGAGCUCAACAUCACUCAGGAGGUGCCGCGGUGCUGGGGACAGGUGGCCAUGCUCGGGCAUCCGGUGCUCAUCCACCUUGACCAUGUCAUCGACUUCACCUGCCCGCCGAGCCCGGACAGUGGGAUGAGCUGCGACAGUGGGAUCAGCGGGAUGCCGUCGGAGGACGGAAUGGUGCCGGAUUGGCCAGCUAGGUGGGGCUACAGAUGGUUCCUCAACUAUGAAGAUGGAGACUUCCCGCCGCCGCCACCGCGGGACUCCGUCCACUCCAGGCUGCGCUUUCCUGACGCCGGUGGCAAUGGUGGAGGAGGAGGGCGGCGAACCUAUGGCAGCGGCAGUGGGUUCAGGCAGGCAAGUGUUGGGAUGCAGCAGGCCGAGCAAGGUGGAAGAUCUCACCAAGGGCGGGCUGGUUCGGGCGGAGGAGCUGGAGGCGGAGGCCGGAGACGCUGCGGAUGGCCGGAGGAGGGCUUGGCCGUGCCGCCGUUGAUUGACAUGGUGGAGGCGAACGGGGCUCCGGCAGCUGUGGACCCGUUCGCGUGCGCUCAUGGCGUCCUGGGCCUCUCUGUUUUGCUGCAGCAGGGGACACUAGCCGCGCCUGGGGUGCCCACAGCUCAAGAUGGCAUGGGCGAGGGUGGUCAGCGGGCUGUGGAGGAAGAGCUGCUUGCCCCCUUUCGUGAAAGUCUGCGGGAGCUGAGCGAGGAUCAACCGGAGCAGUUCUCUGUCCCGCUGAUGGGAGGAAACGAGGGAGGAAAGCCUGAAGAGGAAGGGGGACGACGCCAGGCGACGCGGCGAGCGACGUGCAUGGUUGUUCCCAUGCAAGAGCAGAGAGUGGUGCAGAGGCACCCACCUCGGUGGGGCCAGAUGGAAAGGAGGAGGUAG